rfam:Gossypium arboreum cultivar AKA8401 contig_1390_1, whole genome shotgun sequence.
UGUUAAAAAUUUCAUCCAUUUCUAUUGUUAAAAAUUGACAUGGCUAAUAGAAUAACAAAGCAGUGACACGUGAUGUGCCACAUACUUACAUUCAAGGACUUUUUUAACGGUAGAAAUGGAUGAAAUUUUUAAAA